UAAUUUAUGUAGUAAAAAAUAUUUAUUAUUAGAAAAUAACAAUUUAUGACCUCCCUUGCACCUUGGGUGGGGUCUUGCUCUGAAGUCUCACAAGUGGUAGAGACUUCAUCAUAAUUUGUGAAGAGGGGGCCUGCGUUCGUGCGGCCCCUGU
rnacentral:snRNA from 1 species